CAUCUGCCUGACGUCACAUGCAGUUCGAGCGGCAGCACGGGUACUUUGUACCUGGUGGCGAGCGGCGGACGGGUGAGUAAUGCCUAGGAAUCUGCCUGGUAGUGGGGGAUAACGCUCGGAAACGGACGCUAAUACCGCAUACGUCCUACGGGAGAAAGCAGGGGACCUUCGGGCCUUGCGCUAUCAGAUGAGCCUAGGUCGGAUUAGCUAGUUGGUGAGGUAAUGGCUCACCAAGGCGACGAUCCGUAACUGGUCUGAGAGGAUGAUCAGUCACACUGGAACUGAGACACGGUCCAGACUCCUACGGGAGGCAGCAGUGGGGAAUAUUGGACAAUGGGCGAAAGCCUGAUCCAGCCAUGCCGCGUGUGUGAAGAAGGUCUUCGGAUUGUAAAGCACUUUAAGUUGGGAGGAAGGGCAGUUACCUAAUACGUAUCUGUUUUGACGUUACCGACAGAAUAAGCACCGGCUAACUCUGUGCCAGCAGCCGCGGUAAUACAGAGGGUGCAAGCGUUAAUCGGAAUUACUGGGCGUAAAGCGCGCGUAGGUGGUUUGUUAAGUUGGAUGUGAAAUCCCCGGGCUCAACCUGGGAACUGCAUUCAAAACUGACAAGCUAGAGUAUGGUAGAGGGUGGGUGGAAUUUCCUGUGUAGCGGUGAAAUGCGUAGAUAUAGGAAGGAACACCAGUGGCGAAGGCGACCACCUGGACUGAUACUGACACUGAGGUGCGAAAGCGUGGGGAGCAAACAGGAUUAGAUACCCUGGUAGUCCACGCCGUAAACGAUGUCAACUAGCCCUUGGGAGCCUUGAGCUCUUAGUGGCGCAGCUAACGCAUUAAGUUGACCGCCUGGGGAGUACGGCCGCAAGGUUAAUCAAAAUUUUUUUGGUUGAGGAGGGAGAAAAACCUGGGUUGGGUGGGGGGGG
rnacentral:rRNA from 1 species